rnacentral:tRNA from 1 species
GCAUCCCUAGCUCAAUGGUAGAGCAGUUGACUCUUAAUCAAUUGGUUCCCGGUUCGAGCCCGGGGGGGUGCA